rnacentral:rRNA from 1 species
CUUAAUUGGGCGUUAAGUUGCAGGGUAUAGACCCGAAACCCGGUGAUCUAGCCAUGGGCAGGUUGAAGGUUGGGUAACACUAACUGGAGGACCGAACCGACUAAUGUUGAAAAAUUAGCGGAUGACCUGUGGCUGGGGGUGAAAGGCCAAUCAAACCGGGAGAUAGCUGGUUCUCCCCGAAAGCUAUUUAGGUAGCGCCUCGUGAAUUCAUCUCCGGGGGUAGAGCACUGUUUCGGCUAGGGGGCCAUCCCGGCUUACCAACCCGAUGCAAACUGCGAAUACCGGAGAAUGUUAUCACGGGAGACACACGGCGGGUGCUAACGUCCGUCGUGAAGAGGGAAACAACCCAGACCGCCAGCUAAGGUCCCAAAGUCAUGGUUAAGUGGGAAACGAUGUGGGAAGGCCCAGACAGCCAGGAUGUUGGCUUAGAAGCAGCCAUCAUUUAAAGAAAGCGUAAUAGCUCACUGGUCGAGUCGGCCUGCGCGGAAGAUGUAACGGGGCUAAACCAUGCACCGAAGCUGCGGCAGCGACGCUUAUGCGUUGUUGGGUAGGGGAGCGUUCUGUAAGCCUGCGAAGGUGGCCUGUGAGGGUUGCUGGAGGUAUCAGAAGUGCGAAUGCUGACAUAAGUAACGAUAAAGCGGGUGAAAAGCCCGCUCGCCGGAAGACCAAGGGUUCCUGUCCAACGUUAAUCGGGGCAGGGUGAGUCGACCCCUAAGGCGAGGCCGAAAGGCGUAGUCGAUGGGAAACGGGUUAAUAUUCCCGUACUUGGUGUUACUGCGAAGGGGGGACGGAGAAGGCUAUGUUGGCCGGGCGACGGUUGUCCCGGUUUAAGCGUGUAGGUGUGUGUUCCAGGUAAAUCCGGUUCACUUUAACACUGAGGCGUGACGACGAGGCACUACGGUGCUGAAGCAACAAAUGCCCUGCUUCCAGGAAAAGCCUCUAAGCAUCAGGUAACAUCAAAUCGUACCCCAAACCGACACAGGUGGUCAGGUAGAGAAUACCAAGGCGCUUGAGAGAACUCGGGUGAAGGAACUAGGCAAAAUGGUGCCGUAACUUCGGGAGAAGGCACGCUGACACGUAGGUGAAGUGAUUUACUCAUGGAGCUGAAGUCAGUCGAAGAUACCAGCUGGCUGCAACUGUUUAUUAAAAACACAGCACUGUGCAAACACGAAAGUGGACGUAUACGGUGUGACGCCUGCCCGGUGCCGGAAGGUUAAUUGAUGGGGUCAGCGCAAGCGAAGCUCCUGAUCGAAGCCCCGGUAAACGGCGGCCGUAACUAUAACGGUCCUAAGGUAGCGAAAUUCCUUGUCGGGUAAGUUCCGACCUGCACGAAUGGCGUAAUGAUGGCCAGGCUGUCUCCACCCGAGACUCAGUGAAAUUGAACUCGCUGUGAAGAUGCAGUGUACCCGCGGCAAGACGGAAAGACCCCGUGAACCUUUACUAUAGCUUGACACUGAACAUUGAGCCUUGAUGUGUAGGAUAGGUG